AAAACUCAAACUGAUGGAAGCGGCAAUCAAAUCAAUCCAAUCAAGCACUGGAAC
rnacentral:sRNA from 1 species